rnacentral:rRNA from 1 species
GAGGGUGACCGGCCACAUUGGGACUGAGACACGGCCCAAACUCCUACGGGAGGCAGCAGUGGGGAAUAUUGCACAAUGGGCGAAAGCCUGAUGCAGCGACGCCGCGUGAGCGAAGAAGUAUUUCGGUAUGUAAAGCUCUAUCAGCAGGGAAGAUAAUGACGGUACCUGACUAAGAAGCACCGGCUAAAUACGUGCCAGCAG